rnacentral:rRNA from 1 species
AGCGAACGCUGGCGGCAGGCCUAACACAUGCCAGUCGAACGAACUCUUCGGAGUUAGUGGCGGACGGGUGAGUAACACGUGGGAACGUGCCUUUUGGUUCGGAAUAACUCAGGGAAACUUGUGCUAAUACCGAAUGUGCCCUUCGGGGGAAAGAUUUAUCGCCAUUAGAGCGGCCCGCGUCUGAUUAGCUAGUUGGUGAGGUAACGGCUCGCCAAGGCGACGAUCAGUAGCUGGUCUGAGAGGAUGACCAGCCACACUGGGACUGAGACACGGCCCAGACUCCUACGGGAGGCAGCAGUGGGGAAUCUUGCGCAAUGGGCGAAAGCCUGACGCAGCCAUGCCGCGUGAAUGAUGAAGGUCUUAGGAUUGUAAAAUUCUUUCACCGGGGACGAUAAUGACGGUACCCGGAGAAGAAGCCCCGGCUAACUUCGUG